GUCAGGGUGUCCUUGGGGCGCAGGGACAGGGGGGUGCAAGGGGCUGGGAAUUGGGGUGCAGCUGGGGGGCGCAGGCAUCACCACCCAACGCUGGGAGACUGGGGGAGGAACACCCCCCCCGCCCCACCCCCCGCCACGAAACUGCACAUCUGGGAGUACAAAGAGGGGGGGGGACACACCACACACACACACCCUCCCCCCCCCGAGCCCCCACUCGAAUCCAGUCUGUUCCAGUGACACGAUGCCGGCAGCCUGGCUGCUCCUGGUAGCGCUGGGGCUGCCCGGCUGCCCCUGGGGCUGCCGGUGCCCAGGGGGGGCCCCCCCAGUGCUGCCCCCCCCCAGCAGCCGCAACGAGACGGGGGCGGGGGGCGGGCGGGCGCGGGCCCCCGACCUGGGGGUGCUGGUGGCCGUGGGCGGGUGGCUCGGCGCCGUCCUCGCCUACGUGGGCCGGUACGUCCGGAGGAGCCGAGCCCAGAGCCGAGCCCAGAGCCGGCUGCACCUCGAGUACCUGCGGGCGCUGCCCCGCCACCCGCCCAGCCCCGAGGAGGAGGAGGAGGAGGAAGAAGAGCCGCUCAGCACCGUCCUCUGAGGCUCAGCACCCUCCCAGCCCCGAGGAGGAGGAGGAGGAGGAGGAGGAAGAGCUGCUCAGCACCGUCCUCUGAGGCUCAGCACCCUCCCAGCCCCGAGGAGGAGGAGGAAGAGCUGCUCAGCACCAUCCCAGCCCCAAGGAAGAAGAGGAGGGUGAGAAAGAGCCGCUCAGCACCAUCCCAGCCCCGAGGAAGAGGAGGAGGAGGGUGAGGAAGAGAAGAGCCGCUCAGCACUGUCCUCUGAGGCUCAGCACCGUCCCAGCCCGAAGGAGGAGGAGGAGGGUGAGGAAGAGCCGCUCAGCACCAUCCUCUGAGGCUCAGCACCCUCCCAGCCCCGAGGAGGAGGAGGAGGAGGAGGAGGGUGAGGAAGAGAAGAGCCGCUCAGCACUGUCCUCUGAGGCUCAGCACUGUCCCAGCCCUGAGGAGGAGGAGGAGGAAGGUGAGGAAGAGCCACUCAGCACCAUCCCAGCCUGGAGGAAGGUGAGGAAGAGCCGCUCAGCACCGUCCCAGCCCCGAGGAAGAGGAGGAGGGUGAGGAAGAGCCGCUCAGCACCAUCCCCUGAGGCGCCGCCGGCCCCAGCCAUCACCAGCAGCGAACCGGAGAGCCCCGAGGGGGUGAAGCCCCCCCAGACCUGCCCCGGGAGUGG